rnacentral:rRNA from 1 species
ACGCUCGACACCUACUGGNGGCAGCAGUGGGGAAUAUUGCACAAUGGGGGAAACCCUGAUGCAGCGACGCCGCGUGAAGGAAGAAGUAUUUCGGUAUGUAAACUUCUAUCAGCAGGGAAGAAAAUGACGGUACCUGACUAAGAAGCCCCGGCUAACUACGUGUCAGCAGCCGCGGUAAUCUGAGCGGGCUGGCAAGGC